GACGAACGCUGGCGGCGUGCUUAACACAUGCAAGUCGAACGGAAAGGCCCUGCUUUUGUGGGGUGCUCGAGUGGCGAACGGGUGAGUAACACGUGAGUAACCUGCCCUUGACUUUGGGAUAACUUCAGGAAACUGGGGCUAAUACCGGAUAGGAGCUCCUGCUGCAUGGUGGGGGUUGGAAAGUUUCGGCGGUUGGGGAUGGACUCGCGGCUUAUCAGCUUGUUGGUGGGGUAGUGGCUUACCAAGGCUUUGACGGGUAGCCGGCCUGAGAGGGUGACCGGCCACAUUGGGACUGAGAUACGGCCCAGACUCCUACGGGAGGCAGCAGUGGGGAAUAUUGCACAAUGGGCGGAAGCCUGAUGCAGCAACGCCGCGUGUGGGAUGACGGCCUUCGGGUUGUAAACCGCUUUCGCCUGUGACGAAGCGUGAGUGACGGUAAUGGGUAAAGAAGCACCGGCUAACUACGU
rnacentral:rRNA from 1 species